rnacentral:lncRNA from 1 species
UCGAGGCAUUUGAACAAACCAACCCAUGAUAAAACAUAUAAUAAUACCAGAUUCUGAAUGAUAUUUAUAUAUAUAAUUGGCUUUAAAAAUACAUAACUUAAUACUAUACAUAAUAAUACAAACUGUGAUCACUUCUAUACAAAAGAAACUAAGUACAUCUAUCCCAUGAACACUUAUACGAAUACCCUCUGUAACCUCCACACAACCAUAUCUGCUGAAUCGAUCUAUCCUCGAGCAUUUGUUUAACUGAAAAGGGAUUAAUGAUAGGGUGAGCAUUUUCACUUGCUCAGUAGUGACUCACAUUUCCAAUAUACUAACUAAUCAUGCAUGGCGAUUAAUCAUACUAAACAUUUGAAAGAAUGCAAGUUUUAAUAAUUCAAAGUAACUUUCUACUAUAAAUAAUAAUAUAAUAUACAAACAUUCAUACAAUAAGUCGGGUACCUGUAUCCUAUCAGAGUGCUGAGGGUACGACUGGUACUCGGCCCCAGUCCCAGGCAAUAUCUUAGUUCAGUACUUACCGGUGUGAACCUGCACUGUUAGUUCCUGAUUAUCCGGUCAGGUGAUUACCGUUUUGUGUCUCGAGAACACUAACCCUCUUUCAGGGAUCAGGUGGGCCCUCUGACCACGACGCCCUGAGGGGGGAAUCACCUAUCACGGUGGUCAACCGUUUGACGACUGCAGACUGCUCAGGAUCCUGACACACGUCCAGGAGUGGACUACCUCUCACUCCCCGCGUCUAACCUCCUCGAGGUAACAUGUAUCCCCACAACACACUAACCAUCCACAGCAAAUACCACUAAAAGCAUGGCGGAAGAGGAAUUCCCGGAAACAUUCGACAAUGUUCGUCUUUAGAAAGUGCCCAUUCACCGUCUAAAGGUGAACACUGUAUAUGUAAUCCUAGAAAGAACUGCCAUCUCUAGAAUAUGACAACAAUUCCUCCUUUGUAGAAAUUCACAUAUCCCUUGCCAAACCGCCUCGUGAUACAAUACAUAUAAUAUAUAAAGUGUCUUUUAAUGAUAAUUAAUUAAUCUGGCAUGUAUGACGAGUCCCUGAAUUUAUCAACCAUUAAACCAGUCCCCUAUUCACGGCUACCCUAACCGGGCCAAAGCCAAAGAGACUAUCCCCUAUUCCAUGGCUACCCUAACCGGGCCAAAGCCAAAGGGAUUAUAUCCGAUCUGUAAUAAUAUGUUCGUGUAAGCACCCAGAUCAUAUUCCCAAUUCAGGAACCUCACACCAUACCAACAUACAACUGGGAUUUCACAUCCCACAUACAAAAUCCAUCUCCCUUUUCCCAUCCUGGAAAAGAGAUGCAAUAAAACCUUCAAUAGCUUUUUCGUUUAUAAAACUAUUUCGAUAUACAUAUACUGCUUUAAUAACUCCAGUAUAAAACAUGAUAUCUGUAACUAAUCACUUUAAUAAAAGCUAUAAUCGAUAAACCACGAGUAAUCUAUAUAUACCAAACAAAACCAUGCAUGCAUUUUUAUCAUCAAUAAUAUAUCAAUUAAUUUGCAACAUUUAAAAUAUGACACAUGAAAAGAUAGUAUAAAAGAAAUGUAAGUCCCUACCUCUUGCUCGUUAGCUCCUUAACUUCCUUCUAAAUUUUCAGUCAAAAAACACUCAACUAGAAAUACCGAUAUCCUAAAAACAGGUUGUGUACACAUAAGUCUAAAUUAGUACUAGUCAUUCGAAUUAAUAUCAUUUCACAAGUUUAGGUGAAGUGUUUACCGGCAACUUCGUGUCAUUAAAAUCCACUUCCAAAGCAUUAUAAAUCUCGACCAAGCUGAAUUCUAUAUGGCUUUAAAACCCCACUUCCCAAUCGGGCCAUAACAACCAUGAGCAAUACCUUUUAUGUAUUGUCCAAUCACAGCCAGUUAAUUACAGAUCAAAACACCAACUUCCUAUAAUUUUUAUACCCUUAUUGAACCGUAAUUGCCGAGCUUUGGGUUGUAAUUAUACUGAGCUAUUGAAACCUUCAUCUUGUAAAUCAAAUCCUCCUAUAAUCACUUCAUGAAUCAUGAACCUAUAUUAUAUAAUACCUGAAAUCCCAACACAUCUAGAGAUCCCUUGAGUUUACUUUCUUCCUCCAUUAUCUAUUUCUCUAAACAAAAAGUCAUCUUGCUGGAAUUUCUAUCUCAACAAAGAAAUUAUGAAAGAAAGAGACAGACUUUCAUUGCCAACCAAGACACCCAUAUAGGACGGUAAGUUUUAAGCAGGAAGAAAGAAAGAGAUAAGCACUUACAUAUAUAUUAACUUGUUUUAAUUAAUUUCUCAUGUUAAUCCCUUUCCUAACUUUACUCCUUGUUCCAAAAUGAGACAGCUCCUGCUAUAUAAAGUGAUGAAGCAUGCAGCUCUCUCUCUCAAAUAAGUUAAGAAAUAGGUGAACCAGGC